rnacentral:rRNA from 1 species
GAUGAACGCUAGCUACAGGCUUAACACAUGCAAGUCGAGGGACCGGCGCACGGGUGAGUAACACGUAUCCACCCUGCCCUUUACUCGGUGCUAGCCUUGCGCACGAAAGAUUAAUAACCACUAUUAAGGCUGGUGAUUCGUUCCAUUAGGUUGGUGGGGAGGUAACGGCACAACAAGCCUUCGAUGGAUAGGGGUUCUGAGAGGAAGGUCCCCUACAUUGGAACUGAGACACGGUCCAGACGCCUACGGGAGGCAGGAGGGAGGAAUAUUGUGAAAUGUGCGGUAGCCUGAACCAGCCAAGUAGCGUGAAGGAGGAAGGCUUAUGGGUCGUAAACGUCUUUUAGAGAAGAAUAUGUAUUAUAUGAAUAAGGAUCGGCUAACUCCGUGCCAGCAGCCGCGGUAAUAC